rnacentral:lncRNA from 1 species
UGCAAUUAAAUUAUUUAGGGAAAAAUUAAUUAAUAUAAAUGCAUGAAAAAUAAAAAACAAAAAGUGUAAAAUUAUUGGGAUGAAAGCUGAUGGUAGCAUCCCCUAUUGCUUGUUAACUGACAAGUAAAUGACAUCUAGCUUAAUUAAAAUAGGUUUGGUACUGAAUCACUAGGUAAUAAUAAAGUUUAUGAGAAUGUAUUAUAAAGAACACAUCUUUCCUACAUAAUUUUUGGUUUUUUGGUUGCACAAAACAGUAGGGGGUGGUGGUGCUUGGUGAUAAGGUACUGUGGGAGGGUAGCUAUGUUGAUGAAAGAGUAUCAGAUAUAAUAAGAGGACAGAAAAUUUCCAGUUAAAGCAUAUUAAGGCUUAAAUAGACCUGAGACUACUAAACACCGGAAAUAUUUCGCUGAGGAAUACAUUUCAUUGAGAAAAUAGUUUUCGUGAAAGUAAUUUAUAUCAAACAACAUGGAGGCUAAGUGUGAGAAUGCAAAAAGAAGACAGAUAAAAGAAUCAAUGGCCUUAAGGGCGAGGAUGGCUAAAUUUUAAAUGGAAUAUAAACUUGAAGACAAAGAAGAGAGAGGAAUUCAGGUUCUAGGCUUUCCAAGCAAAAAAAUCAUUUUUUACGUUGCAAGACUAACAGUAGGGAACGAUCUUCCAUUGUUGGUUACGGUUGUCUCCUUUCCACCAUUCCCAGAGAGCAACAAUGGUCCCGUCACGGACACCUCCAUGUUCUUUAUCAGCAUUCCAUGCAUCUAGAUUGAGGCGAAUGUUAUUAACCAUCCUAACUGCUCGAUAACCAUCACUCACGUCCCUGCUCUCUGUCCACAAGACUGAUGCAUCAAGAACAUCAGGGUCGUAAGGGGUGAGCUGCACCUGUAGAGGAAUUUUAAUAGGAAUGUAACUCACCUUCCAGUCAAAAGCCAUGUAACAUCAGGAAGGCAAGGCCCUUGAACAUCAGUGUGUUAAUUACCUUCAAGCAUAUGUAAAUUCCAUACUCAUGCAUUUGCAACAAUCAAGGUGCAUGGAGCAAGGGUAAUAUUAGUUGAAAUCACAUAUAGUACUUAAAUAGGCAACAUAACAAUAGCAAUUCACAUCACAAAGAAUCAAGUUUAAGAUGCAAAUUCUUCUUGUAUAAACCCAAGCCACAAAUGCCUAUAACAACAACAACAACAACAAACCCAGUGUAUCCCACAAAUAGUAGCCACAAACGUCUAUGUUUCACUAAUUUCCUCUUAGCAACUUAAAGGUUUUCUGCAGUUAAUGAAUUCAAAACUUAAACUCAACAUGGCCACGAUGCCUCUAGUUCUAAUUUCACCAUAGCCUCAGUUUAUCUCACACCCAUUGCACAUUAUUUCUUAAUUGAAGAGAGUGCAGAUACUGUAGGAGAAAAAAGUAGAUGAACUAAAGCUAGAGCUAGUAUGAAAAUGCUUCCAACUAUUCUCUCUACAACAUGGUCAAACUGGUGUAACGAUGCAGAAUUGCGGGUGUUGCAGUGAAUCAGCACACAUACUUGGACGAAUAAAUCAUCCAUGUACUGGAAUCAGCAUGGAACAAUAUUGCUCUGCUUUAGUUCUAUUUUGAUCCUAAUUGCUCGAACUCGGGUGCGGAUAUACGAGUGCGGAUCUAGAGGUCGGCUUCUUCAUCAUAUGAGUUUUAGAAUUUGAGGGUAUGGAUCCAAGUGCGAAUACGGGUGCUUAGAUACGGCUAAUAUAUGCACGUUACGACAUUUAUAAGUAUAUGUUUCUAUUAAUUAAAGUUAGUGAGCAAAGACUAAUGGUAAAGUUUAAUUCUUUAUAAACACCUAAUAAAUUCUUCAUAAUAUAUAUGACAUAAACCUACAAAAUCAAACUAGAUACCCGAUCAAUCAAUACUUCUCGAUCAUAGAUAUAGUCAAAGCACCCACGGUAAGUUUUCCAAAUCUAGUGUAGAUCCGACACCCACACCCAUGUAGUGUCGACAAUGCGAGGAUUUUCAGGAGUCACGCAACAUAGCUUUAGAUAAAAGUAAUGCACACAUAAUCAUCAUCACCUUUUUUUCCUUUUUAAAGAGUAAAUUCCAAUUAAUAAUAAAUGCAUAUCAAUAGUGCUUUAACUUCUAGAUAUUUGUUUAAUUUCUAGCUUAUGCUCAUUACCAAUAGACUAUAAGUUAUGCAAGUUCAAGAUCUCAUCUAUCUAGCUAUGCUAUGAAUAAAUCAAAGAGAAAUAGUGAAGCUUAUGAAACCUUCUUGGCACCUAAAAUCCAUACUAGUAUUAUGUUUGUCAUUUACAAACCCCUCCACCUCUUUUUUGUGGAUAAAAUCAGCCUGUUUUGAAUAUAGACAACAGUAUUGAUGCCAAGAAUUAAGCUAUUUUCAGGGGUUAGCCGUACUUCUAGAGGGCACCUAAAAUCCAAAAAACCAUGUUCAUCAUUAAAAAAAAAAAACUAUUCAGUCUACAUAUUGGGUUAAACUUUCCUUCAGAACAUAUAAGGUUUCUCUUCCCCCAUAGUGUCCAAACAAUGCAUACUUGAAUCAUGCUUGAAUCCUGUAUUUCUAAAAGAAGUCAUAACUGAGCCUUCACAUAAAUUAUUAAUCCUUUGCAGUCAACAUUAAAAAUCUCAAAAGAUCCAUUUCUCUGAUUUCUCUAGUCAAUCCGUGAAAAAUUCAUAGUAUGCAUCAUUUGCAAGUCACAGCAUUUGUCUUAGGUGGAAAUCUCUAAUAUCCUUUUCCAGGACAAAGUAAUGGGUUGGCUAUCAAGGUUUAACAAUUCAUUCAAUAACAAACAAAUAUCUAUUUUAUUUUUCAGCGCUUAUGGUUAACAAGAUACAGAACAUACAGGGUGAGAGGCGCCAACAGAGUGCUUCAUGGCCAGUCCUGCAGCUUUAUUAACCAGAGCAAAGCUUGGAAACCCCUCUUCAUCCUUCACUUUAGUGCUGUACUUCUCAUCUUUAUACCAGUGCUGCAAACAAAUUCACACAGAAAAAAUUACAUCAUAUUCACAGCAAAGAAUCAACAAAAUUCAAAAAAAGAAGAAAAAGGACCUACUUGAAAAGGAUCGGAUGGAUCAGAAGAGGCAAGAACGACUUUGCCGUCACGGAUAGUGAGAGAGUAAUUGGGAUCAGCCUUUGUAUAAACCCUAAAUGAAGGCUUAUCGAUGAGCUCUGGAUGUGGUGAGGUCUCAUGGUGGAAGAAUGAAGGCACAUGUGGUUGAAAACGAUGAUGAUCAUGCUGACGAUGAACGCUCUCACUCUCACUCUCGUGAGACACGUGUUCGACGGAGGAAUAACUAGGUGGUUGCGGUGGUGGCGGGCCCUCAUAAUAAGGCGGUGUACGAUUAUAAGAUCCACCAUAGUUCUCCUCCAUUCGCGGAGGCGGAUAAUUAGUCCGACCAUAACUAUCCUCCAUUGACGGAGGAGGAUAACUAGUCCGACCAUAAUCGUCCUCCAUAGGUGGCGGUGGAGGAUAAUGAGGACGGUUAUAAUUGGGAUCCAUCGGUGGUGGUCCACCUACAUGGGAAGUGUGAUAGACAUGGGUAACUUCUGACGGUGGUGGUUCGUCGUAGGCUGACGGUGGUGGUCGUCGUCCGGGAGGUGGAAAUUCCUCUCCACCGUCGUCGUCGCGACGGUGGUGGUGGUGUCCAAAAGGAAAUUCCAUUAUUUAUGACAAAAUUAGGGCUG